CCUGGUCUCGCAGAUUUUCUUGUACCGAAAAUCAGUAAACUUUUACGCGUAAUAUCUUAAAAACUAUUUGUAAAAGGAUGUAUACAUUAAGCUUGCUGAAUUCGUCUUGAAACAUACUAUCUAUUCAUCACACAAAAGGUAUAUAAUCCCAUUUGAAAAAUCAAACGUAACUUUCAUAUCUCUGUAAACAGUAAUGAUACAAAAAAAUUGUUACGGCCAAUAAAUCGACCCCCUCUUGCCAUUCAAUUUCAUAUGAGAAACUUUUUUCGUAUCUUUAAUAGGUUACGAAAUAAUCGGCUGUCCAGGAUUUCGUGGGACAUACCGUAUACAUAGAUACAUACAGUGACGAGCAAAAGUGUAAACACACUCCGCUGAUUUGAUGUAAAAGGCGAAAAUUUAAUGUGAAAGUACUGUAAGGAAAAUACGCUUUAAAAAGUCAAUAUUUUAUUACGGUAAAACUAAGGGAGUAAAUUAACGAAUGACUGACUAAUGUCGCUACGUAAUCGUUCACUUUCCAAAAGCGAUUGCGGUAAAACGAAAAAGUGUCGAUGCUCGUCGAUCCUCGACACCAAACGGAAUGACUGCACCUACGUCCUCGGUCUCGUUGCCACGUCCGAGUCGACUCUUCCGUCGCUCUUUUGUUUUAUAUCUAAGGAUAGCCAAUAAUGCGUUCCAUCGACUGGGAAAGAAAUGAACAUAUUGGGCAGCGUCGACGUCGCACGCAGCGAGGCAGGGCAGUGCCGAAAGGUCGGAAACAGUGUCGUCUCUCAACAAUUACUUCUUGCCUUACAAUACGAUUCAUUUUUCAAGUGAUCGAUAAGGAUUAUGUUGGAUCGAUUGUUAAAAUUUAUUUAUAGAACGGAUCCGACAUAGUUCGUCGGUACGUUCGACUCAAAGAAACAGAUAACGUUCCAAUGUUUAGAAUACAGAGACACGUCACCAGAGCCUCACUUGGGGAGUCGGCUUCGAACUUCGGUCGCGAUCGGUCCAGAAAAUGAAAUCGAAAUGAGCAGCCAGUACAUGAAGGUCCUUUCCAGUAAAGUGCAAGGUGACACUGUGUAACAUAAUAUCAAAUUCGGUGCUUUCCAACUAUGCGCAGCUAAAAUGCUGUGUUCAACAGUGCAGACAUUCAGAGCCUAAUGACAACUCAUGUAAACUAACUACUCCGCACUUUGGCGGUGAAAUGAAGAAGCUAAUUAGUGUAUCAACCACAAACUGAGACUGUUUAGACAUUUGCCUAGAUGUCCGUGGCCUGGAAGUCAAAUACCAUAAUUACGAAAAAAACUGGUGUUUUUACACCUCAAGCCUCUCCCAGCCGCGUGUAGAGCCUGAGUGAGAGGUGAAUAAUAAUUGUUUUUGAACAUGUAUCCAUAGAAUUUUCAUUUUUAAAGAUUAUUUAAUCAAAAUCUACCUCGGUGUAACACGAUCGAUUUCACAAAGCAAAAAAUCCAUGUUUUCGGCACAGGAAAUCGGAUAAAAGAGUUCAAAUUUGAAAAAAAUAAUUUAUUGGAAAAAAACAAAACCUUGAGAUGUAAAAAAAAUACAGUUUUUUUCGUAAUUGUGGAGACUCGGAAGUGUCAACAAAAAAUACAUCAAACCCGAUGUCAAGCUAAUUUCAAAGUGACAAGUCGAUUUUUGUUGAAAAAUGUCCGUUUUUCUGCAUUCAAACGUCAUUUUCUUCCUAAAAUACCACCGUAGAAUUUUUUUUGACAAUACCAUUCAAAAGCUGAGACUUUGAGGAAGUUUUUCCCGAAGAGUGCCCGCCAAACAACUAUGUCUUUGAAACCGAAAAACGGAUAGAGAAAAAGUCAAAUUUUUUAAAAUUUUCACAAUGUAAAGUUUGACUUAAUUUUUCACUUAUUAAACCUACGUAAUAGAUUUUAGUUCGGCACCAGACAGAUGGAAAAUUUAACGCUCUUUCGAAUGGUGUACUGAUUUUUAAGUUUGCACUGUAAUUUAGUGGAGUUGUGGCCGUUUAAAGAGUGUCAAGUCGAAAACACAGAAAAAAAAUUAAAAGUGAAAAAUACUCGAGAAUAAGACGACACAAAGAAAAUGUCUAAGAGUAAAUUUUUGUUGGAAAUUUGUUGUAGAAUUGACACCCUGCGUAUGUCCGGACUUAUACGCAGACACCCUGUAUAAUACAAUCUUCAUUGUUAAAAAGAAAAUUUGCAACUGCGUUCAAUCACUGUCACAGCAAUGUAGGGAUAUACGCUGAUAUAGGACCAUAUACAUUAAAGUGGUUCUUAAAGGGGUGACUUUCGAAUUUUAAUGUUUCAAGGGUCUUGAAUGCUUCGAAAUAACUAAAAACAGAUUUCCUAAAAAUUUCAGCUCUCCGUUUCAAUUCUUAAUACCCUCGCGCAACGGUCGGAUUUUCCUACUUAAAAUUCGUAUAGGAAAUCGAAUGCUCUCCAAAAAAGACUGAUGUAAAAAUCCCGUAACUCUAAUCGGUAUAAAGUUGUAAGCUCAUAAAGUUGAAACUAUAAGAAUUUAUCUUUUUUUUUGAAUUUCUGAUAUGUUUUAAAAAUGUUUAAUACUGGUGAAAAAAAGUAGAGUGACGUACAGCGAUGAUAAUAAUUUUUGAACACUUAUACUUGUGUUGUUAAGAAUAUUAUUAAUGAAUAUUUUGUUUAUUCUUCUUACCUUACCAGACAAACAAUUCCCAGCAGAAUACUUAUAAAAUAAUCAAUAAUAUAAGGUUCCUUGUACCAUAUUAACAACUGCUUACAGGGAAAAAUACGUGUAGGAUGAAUAUUGGCAAAUACCUGUACGACAUAAUACUUGUAGAAUAGAAUACUUACCUAGAGGAUACUUGGAGCUACCUAAAGGACAGCUAUAGAAUUGUCAAAUAGCAUUGUUCAUAAUAUUGCAACUUACAGGACGUUUCAUCCCCACUCAUAAGUAUGUGAACACUUUCUCAAUUGAAGUAAGUAUCUAGCAACAAUUACAAAUCUAUUAAUAAGCAUCAGUAUUAUUGACUAUCAGUAUUAUCAAUCGUUUCUUCAAUGUAUCACCAGUAAUGAUAAAAAACAGUUCGGUUUUCUUUUAAUUAGUGUGUCCAUUGUGUAUUUUUAGAACAUUUUUUAUCAAUUUUGACACCCUACAUAGUAAUUUAUUCAUCGUAUUUAAAGCAAUAUUAUUCCAUUUAUUAGCCUUUUUCCCAAACUUAUUUGUAUAAAUAAUUCCAGAGAUUCCCUAUGAAAUUUAAUAUGCCAGUCAAAGCUUUAAUAUUACACAAUUCAAUAUUAUUGAAUGUCACUAAACACACCUCUGAAAUCAAAUUUAGCUACAAAAAGUGUUAUAGUAAUAAUGUACAAUGUCAAUUAAUUAUUCAUUAAAAGUGACAAGUGCUCACACAUUUAUGGACUGGGUUGUAGGUAGCCUUUUGUAACCAACUGUACGAAUUUAAGUUCCUUUGUUGAUGCACCGAGGCUGUGCUUUGAACAUCUCUACAGAAUCGUUUGAAGCAAUUGCCUGAGUUAAAUCAAAAGUGCAAGUUAGGCGUCUAUUGUUGAAUGCGUGGUGUUUGUCUCAUCGCUGGCACUACGGGUUACCCAACUGUUCUGAACAACGUUGGAACAGCGACAGCAGUAAUCAAAUGUAUGAGAAAGAAAGAAAGAAAUCACUGAAACCCGUGGCUUCCUGAAAACGUUGAAAAUCUGUAUUACAAUCAUUCAUCGGUCAUUAGCAGAGCUCUUACAACUGAACAAUUAAAAGUUAACCGAAACGGUACAGCCCUGUUCCGCUGUACCUGCACGACACAAUUAAAGGUAUACAUCUUAUCCACUAAACGUAUCUACACUAUGUAUAUGCUUGUGUCUACGCAAUAAGUGGACAGUGGAAUAAAAUGAAAUUAAAACCGAGACGCACCUAACAAGGAGAGGUCUGCAACGUGACGGUUUUUAAUUACCUUCUUAGCAGUGGUAUAUAAUAAACUACAGGUAAUUGUACAUGAUAUUGGGGGUAAACGGUUUAUGGAUUACAAGAUAUACAAUAUUGGAAGAAAUACUACUGUUUAUCAGAAGAAAUAUAGUCAAUAGUGUCACAAGUAACUGCGAGGUGAUCAGUAUGAUGUUAGCAUCCUAGUAUGUGUUUUCUACUUAUUCAGUUCAUUUUAAAUAUAGAUAUGCUAAAGAAUGUGGGAAAGAAGAAGAAAAUUUGGAAAAAGAAAUGGGUUUCCAACGGAGAAAGUUGGUAGGAGAAGGACCAAAGGGUUGGAAAUAAUUGAGGGAGUGUGUGAUAAAGAGUAGGUUUUUUUCUACUCUUUCAAUUUAUUUUAAACAUACAUAUAUUGAAGAAUGUGGGAAAGAAGAAGAAAAUUUUGAGAAAGAAAUGGGUUGUCAACAGAGAAAGUUGGCAGGUGAAGGAAUAAAGGUUUGAAAAUAAUUGAGGCAGUGUGUGAUAAAGAGAGGUAAGUACAAGCCCAGGAAAGUUGGCUUUAGUUUUGUUUCAGAGGCAUGAAAUAUAAGUUAAAUGUUCCUUAGAAUUUGUGAUGUACACCAAAGUUCUCCUUUAUGUAAAAAAUGAUUAAAAAUAAAUUAUCUAUCUAUCUAUUUAUAUGUUCAAUACAACUAAUUUAAAAGUAGUAUAAAACGUAGAAAACAAAUUAUUCUCAUGUUACUUAUAAAUAGACUGCGGAUUUAAAUGAAUUUAUAAGAAACUUGAAUAUGCAAGAUACUACAAAAUGCACACAGUGUUUAAGAACAUAAAAGAACAUUAAUAGUAAAAGUCAUAUUACAAUAUUUACAGUGUAAAAUAAAUUCCUAUUUAAGUGCAAUUGUUGUACAUACAUUUGCAAAGAUUUUAUUUGGCAUAAAGUUCCGCAAUCCACUUAUAAAUAAGUUAUAUAUAACAUAUUGUCAUUUGAAAUAAAUUGAAAGAAUAAAAGAAAACUACCCUUUAAAAUAAAAGUCGUAUUAGGAAGCUAACGCUUCACUGACUACGCUACAGUUGCUUUUGACUUUAGUGGCUAUAUUUCUUCUGAUAAAUAACACUAAUUGCUUCGAUAUUGUAAUCUUAUAAACAACAAAUCGUCUGCCCCCAAAACUAUGUACUACUAACUUCAGUUUUUUGUUAUCUACCCCUCUACAAAAAAAUUAAAAAUGUUAACGUCGCGUUUGAGGACCUUUCCUUGUAGGAAGGAAAAGAAGAGAAAAGAAGGAAACAAAACGCAAAGUAAAACGAGCGACAAAAUGUAAACACAUGGGUGAUUGAUAUAUCGUGUAUCGUCUAAUACCGUGAUGGGAGGGGAGCGUACAGUGUACAAAAUGGGGAAGCUCGAAUGAGAAAGAAAAAAAAAAGUAGCGAACUGAAAAAAGACAACGUAUAAAAAAAUAUAUCUCGUUGGCAUAGAGAAGCGUGAGAAAAUAGAAGCCGAAGAUCAUCAAGCACCGUGAUUAUGGAAAAAAUGGCACAUUUAUUAUAUUAUUAGUGAUAAUAAUAUUACUACCGAUAAUUAUACAUUUUCUUUUCUUUCUCAAACGAAACUCUCUCGACGCACUCUCUCACUCUCUCGUGCACCCGUCCUCGACCACUCUCAUCCUCUCUCUUUCAAUAUAUGCAUAAUAUUCGGCUCGUGCCUCAUCGGCGUUAAUAAAACUCGCAUGCAUGUUCGAAACUGAUCGUUCCAUUAUCCUCUUAAGGCCCGGGGUGUCACGCGAAUCGAGCCACGCCAGACCUAAGUACGCUUCUCCUUUUAAUUACAUAUUAUACAAUAACGUCGUUUUAGAUCUAAUGUACACGUGCGAUUUUUCGCUGGUCGACAAUCGUGUCCCGGGGCAAACGAAGGUAGUCGUCGGUAUUUCGCACAAAUUAAUAAUGAUCCUACGAGCUUUAUACCACCGAGUUCCAACGAAACGUUCGCUCAGCUCGAGCGCGAUAUAAUCCGUUCACUUUUGAUUCGAUUAUGGAACUAUUCCUAUCGAGCACUUGUUAUUUUGCACGCACUUUUAUCAAAUGAGUAAAAUAUCUCAUAGUUACAGUUCUUAAUAUUUUAUAGAAAGUGUUAUAUCCGUUGUAGGAAUAGUUAUUGAAAAUAAAGGUUAGAAAAUUUUUUACUGAAAAGUUUGGAAUAUUUUGCAGUCUCUUGCGAAUGUAAAUAAUAAGUUUUUCACAGAUAUAGCUAAAUACAGUGGAUGUAGAAUAUAUUCGUACACCGAUCAAUUUUCCUAAAAACUUUUGUGUGAAAUUCUAGUUUCUUAACUUCUUUUUUUAUAAUCAAUGAUAUUUUACAUAUUCUCGGGAGUCUCUAAAAUAGAUAUAGACCACACAACAUUUACUAGUUAAUAUAAUUUUGUGAAAUUAAUGCGAAAAAAUGCGAAAAGUGGGUAAAAGUAUAGAAGGAAUAAGUAUUUGUACGAUUCUUAUGACGAACUAUUUACAGUAGAAUUUGUAACGUAAACACAUUAGUUUAUUGAAUUAGAAAACAUCAAAUUUCCAGGAAAGUACUUUUAAAAAUGGCUCUAAUAGAGAAAUUGUAGAAGAUCCCAUUUCGAAUAAUUAAUAAUUUAGUUAAUUUAACGCUUGAAAGAGUUGCAAUAAUUAUAAAAUCAAAAGGAAAUCCCACGAAAGAAGUAUUAUACAGGGUGUCUAAAAAAUGUUGUAACACCUUGAAAGAGGUGGUUCGGGAGGUGAUUUGAAACAACUUUUUCCUUAGCGAAAAUGUUGUCCGAGGCUUCGUUGAGGAGAUAUUAACAGAAAACCCCGACCAAUCAGAGCGCGAGUAUGCCGGUGGAGCGUACACGCUCAUACGCUACCGCGGCCGCUCAACCGGUAUCCUCGCGCUCUGAUUUAAGGUGUUACAACAUUUUCGGGACACUCUGUAUACUUGUAAAUUAAUGUAUUUUUUUUUUUUUUUUUUUUAAUGAAGUUUUACAAAUUAAACAGUUGUGCGAAUACUUAUUGCUCCAAUAUUUCUAUCGAUUGUUUUUUUUUUUUUUUUUUUUUUUGUUAAUUUCGUAACGUACAUAAAUAGCUAUUUUUGUGUACUCUAUGUAUUCGUUAUUCUAGAGACGUCCGAGAAUAUGUAAAAUGUCAGUGUUUUUAAAAAAUAAGUUAAUAAAUUACAAUUUUACAUAGUUUUUGUUUUUAAAUUGAUCUGUAUAUCCUCUGUAUAUCCUAUCCAUUGGAAAAAUAGUUAUAAUUGAAAAUAAAAAUAAAGAAAUUUUCGACUAAAAAUUUUGUAAUAUUUUACAGUCCCUUACAAAUGUAAAUAAGCAGUUUUUUAUAGACAUCGUGAAAAGUAUUAAAUCUACAUUAGAAAUAGUUAUUAGAAAUAAAGAUAAGGAAAUCUGCUAAAAAGUUUCCAAUAUCUUACAGGCUCCCACAAAUAUAAGUAGUCAGUUUUCAUAGAUAUCAUGAAAACUAUGACAACUAUUUCAGAAAUGGUUAUUAUUAUCGAAAAUAAAAAUAAAGAAAUUUUCUACAGAUAGUAAGAGACGUAAAUACUGAGUUUUUCACAAACAUCGCGAAAAGUGUUAUAUUUACUGCAAAUAUAGUUAUUAUCGAAAAUAAAGAGAAGGAAAUUUCCUACAAAAUAUGUAUUAUUUUUUUGGUAUAAUUAAUAAUUUACAUAUUGCAUGACGCGAAGACUUUAAAAUUUACAGAAUCACAGAUUCGUACAGAAUUAUAGUGGUUGAUCAAAUUAUCAGGCUGAUAAUUAUCAGGUGAAAAAAACACUUUUGGGACACCCUGUACAUAUAAAAAUUUUGGCUUUUUACAUCCGAAAACUUUAAAUAUGUUUUUCUCAAAGCCACGUUUCUCAAACUGGCGAGACGCAUAGCCCAUCGAAUUUUUACCCGAUUCGCCUGAUUCAAAGUUUGAAUUGAAGAUAAUUAAGUUUAUAUGCGGAUCGAAUCGAAUCUUCACGGAUUAUUUUUUUUUUGUUAAAUUUAGUUUGUUUAAGGUCGCACCAACAUCAUAGGUUAUACAUCCAAGUUCAAUGCCAUCAUUUUGAAUACUUUCUAUAACAGUAAGUACCCGAAUAAUAAAAUUAAUGAAAUAUUUGAAGAGUCCUUUGAAACAAUUUAUUUUCUACUACAGACAACCUGUGUAACCUUGAAUGACCUUCAACUAUAGGUCAUCGUAUUCAUCUUUAAAUCCUCUAACAGAUAAGCAUAAAAAAAUUAUAUGUUUAUUUGCAAAAAGUUUAAGGUGAUCUUGAAAAAAUAAAAAGAAAUAGCUGAAAAAUAAUUUUUUAUAAUCACGUUAAAUAUCCCUCGAAACCACACAAAAGCUGAUAAAAACAAUUUAAAACUGAUAAAAACAGAUCGGACUACUAAUAACAGUAUAAUAUCCACUGAUCAUGAUUCGAAUCACAAUUCACCUUGUAUUAACAUGUGACCUGAAAGUUGCACGGGCCCAUCGAGGGUUAAGAUGCAACAACUGCAUGAAGCAGACACCCAAUUAUUUGAAGAGGUUAAGGUGGUAUUAAACCCUUGUGCUGGUUAUGAUGGUUCUGCGGCAUUAUUCUACCGCGUUGUCUCAGAAAUCGGCGAAGACAUAAAUCGCAUCUUCAUGGUAAAAAAAAGGGCAUCAAAUACCGGUGGGUAUUUAUUUAAUAUCGCUUCACAGUAAUGUUAAUGUGGUGUUGGCUUCAAACCCUGAGGAUAAAGAUAGAGAGAACAACAAAGACACUAAGUGUUCAGUUAAGCUCAAGAAUUUAGCUUUCAAAUUGGGCAGAGUAGAUUUGUUAAUCGUGGAUACAGACGAUCUACAAAGACUAUUCUGCUGAUGGAAUCAAGAACCAUAAUUUCUGGUACAAGACCUCAAGGGAGUGGACUUCCUGGCAGCUGUGUGAAACCUGAGCGAAUGCAUUGAUAUCGGAGGCAAAUUGUAUAUUAAAAUUAAUGGUUUAGUUGGUUUCCGACCUUAAUCCUUUGCACUCUGAACCAUUUUCUUACAAAAUGUGCAAACAGGAAUCAUGUCGUAUUGGAUGAUACAACACUUAUAAAACAUGUAAUUUACUGUAAUUAUAUUUGAGCUUAUAUGAAUCUUUAGACAUUGAGGAACAUAUUUAUCAUUAUUUAUGUCAAACAUCAAAAUUGUAUACUAUUCUGGUAUAUGAUAAUGUGUGAAAUAGUCAUAUAUAUAUGCAUUGUAUAGUUUCUAUCUUUUAAAUUGGAAUCUUACUUUCAUCCCACAUCUUACUUUCUUAUACAAAUGCUCUUUGUCGUUUUUGUAGGUGUAGACUAUUCACACAUUCUUCUUCCGUAUAACACAAGCUCACAUGUGGAUUUGAAUUUUUGUGAUAUUUCAAUAUAAACCUUCAAGGCAUCAUACACUUUUACAAAUUUUAUGCUCCUCUAAGUUUAUCCUACGUAAUCACUAAUAAAGUUUGUCUGGACUUACGAUGUCCCCUCAGAAGCGAUAUCCGAGUGCAAAGGGUUAAAUAUCUGGAAUGGUAAGGAGCCAGGGUUUGAGAAACAUAGUGAAAGCAUUUUAGAAGAUCUAGUUGAACCCAUCUCUCGUUUAUACGACGAAUUGACAAAGAAAUCAGUCAAAAAGAAAGUUUGGCAAAAACGAAGAGAGAGAGAGAGAGAGAGAGAGAGAGAGAGAGAGAGAGAGAGAGAAGAAUGGAUGGAAAAUAGAUGUGAAUGUUGUACAACAGUCGCUAUGCAAGCCCUCAGCGAGAUGACAGACAUAGUGUCGGACUACGGUAUAUUCCAGCACCAUAAAGAAUAAUACUGCAAAAAUACAGAAUAUUCCAGCAUUACAGGUCAUAAUACAAGGUAAUACAUCAUAUUGCAACAUGAUAGAUGGUAAUACUGUAUAUUGCUACACAGCAUAAUACAGUUUAAUACAAAAAAUUUGAGCAAAAUAGAGGGCUGUACAAACAUAUAUUGGGAUACAGCGAACCAUAUGUUUCAAUAGCUCCCAGGUGGGACUGGUUGCGAUGGUCUAGGCUAGAGAAUAUAAAGCUGUCAACUUUAAAGUAUUAAUUAGAGCACGCCUCUUAUAUAAUAGUGGUACUUUCAAUAAAAAAAAUCUUUUUUCCUCGAUGCUGUAUUACCCAACAUUUUUAGAAUUGCUUUGAAUUACGCUUAUAACUAAUUCGAUGAAGAUUGACUAAAUAUGAACAUGCAUUAAGAAUCGACCAAAGUACAAAGUCUUUGUGUCACGUGUAAAUUAUUGCCUAUAAAAAAAAAUUCAAAUAACGUUCCUAUAUAGAAAUUUGCCCUAUUUUUGUUUGGCUACGACUACACUGUCGAUAUUUAUGCAAUUAUGGCAAAUGGAGGUAUAGGAAGAUUUAUGAGACUUGGCACAAACGCAAAAAUAUAUAAAAUAUCAACACUAGUAUACAUUUAGUAAUAUACAUUUAGUAAUUAUAAUAUACAUUAUUAUACCGUUUAGAAAAUAAAACAUACUCUGAUUUAAGUUUAAGUUCUUUCUUCUGUAUCUGUGAAAGUAUGAAUUUAAGUGGGGAUGUUUAUAUAAAUUAAUAUUUUCACUGAUUCAGAAAAAGAAUUCAAACUUGAAUGAAAGUAUGUUUUAUCUUCUAAACGGUAUAGCAUGUAUAUUACUAUUCACAUUUUAUGAAUGCAUGCGCUUGUGAACAUUCGCGUAGAACUUCCUGUAUUUCAAUUUGCCAUAAAUGUAUAAAUAUCAGUAGUUUACUCCUUAAUGUGCAACAUACGUACAAAACACUGAUUAUUUACACUAGUCGUGACGGUACAAAAUGAUUCAUGCAACUGUGAGAUAUUUUACACGUUUGUAAGUAUUUAGUAAAAGUAAAUGCCAAACGUCGGCUCGAUGUAAAUAUUUUCAUAACGUCGACAAGGAUUUUAGUCCAGAGCAGAGCACCAGGACGAUCUCAGCAUGCGGCGAGCACACAAAUUAAUGGCGACAUGGUCGCACUACUAGUUCACGUGCUCGACAUUAUGUGUCUAACUAUGGAAAAUAGAGAGUAAGGAGAACAAACUCUGUGUAUAGAAACCUAGAAACGUGUCUCUCGUCUGUCGAAGAUUUCAAAUAACGCUGGGAAUAUUGAGAGGAUAAUUUUGAAAGCGGACGCUUUUCAGUUUAAAACUCCGUAUGAGUUUGUCGUACUUAUCUCUACCCUUCAUACGUCCAGCUCUGGUCUAGAAUAACCGCACCGAUACAGUCGAUAAGAAGAAGAUCGCCUCGAUUAGAGUCGUCCCGCGAACUUCAGCGUUUCAAUGAAUUCUGAAACUCGUGGUAAAGCAAUUUUGACUCCCAUUUACCGUCGACGUGAUCUCCUUCGACGAAUGAACCUACCAAUGGUCCGAUUCAAAGUAAAUACGACCUAAUUUCGCAAAAUCUUGCGUAAUGCGUUUACACCAAAGGGGAUAUGCCAGAGAAACAGAAGUAUGUCUGGGAGUGUUUCGAACGAAUUCGAAAGUAAAAUUAAACGAUUUCGAAAGGCUCCAUCGAUACGGUGGCGACUCAUUAGCAAGACUAUUCCCAAUUGAUGGCGGAAUCGCACAGAUUUCUUUAUGUAGAUGUAGAAAGUAUACCGCAAGUAUAAUAAAAAUAUAAAUUAAAAACGCUCUCGACAAUUGCUUCCUAAACAUUAUUUUUCUGUUACUUCAACAGGCUAUUAAAAUAUUUUGAAGUAAAUACGAAGAACUUCUCUUCGUCAGAAAAUGCGUUCUCUCAUUUUUAAAUGCAUUGUUUGUCUGAUUUUGUUUUAGUUUUUCAAUUACAUUUUUUUAACCUUUAUGCUGGGUUGAAUGAGAAUUAACGUAAAAGACCUUCAGGGACUAUGUAAUCGUUUCAUUUGUGAAUGCUGAAUCAAAGUAUAAAUAAUGUGGUAAAAUUUGUUUUUAACGUUGAUUUGUUCGAUAUAUCAUGCAUGUUGGUGUCAUGUUAUCACUGGUUGGUUAAUAAUGAGCAACACAGUAAUUGAUGGAAGAAUUAAUUAAAGUGUGUUCUUCAACCGUGUGGUUGCGUAAUUUUCUUUGAAAAAGUAAAACGUUAAAUAACACAAAAAUAUUGAUAAAGAAACGAAUUAAAAUGCGUCGAAAUUUGUAAGCAAUGAAAAUUCUGGUAAAGAAGAAAAAUUGUAUUACUUUAAUGAGACACAGCUUCUAAUAUUUAUCAGGGCUUUUCUUUGUCUUCCCGUUUGAAUUUUAUAUUUUUUUAUAAUUCCAUUGCAAACAAAACUAUUAUUCAUUCACAUCUUUAUUAACAUAUGUGUUAUUUAAAGUCUGUAUUUUCUUGUGUAGUUCAAAUGUUAAAGAACAUUACCAGUAUGUGUAAUAAGUACUCUAAAUUAUAUAUUUAAAACUGACAAACAUUGUUGUUUACAGUUACUGUGAUAAUCUAAUAAUUAUGGUAAGUUCUUAUAUCACAUAUACGAUAAACAGUUGACUGUUGUAAUUAAUUUUUGAUAGAGAUUUAAGUGUGAAUGACAAUAAUUAACUUGUUAAGCAUUUAGGUUCUCCUCCCUUUAUAUGAAUUUUAUUUUAUCAUGAUUUUAGAGCUUAUAGACAAUUAGGCGUUUAUAAAUAGGCUCGACGUUGUGAAUUUUUUGUAGAAACCAUUAAUUUUUUUGUAUGCUUUUGUAUUAGUGGAAAGUACAGUUCAUAAGUAACAUAAAAAUAAAUGAUUAUAAAAAACAUUGAAAAAUAAUUUAAAGUACAGACAGAUCCCUUCACGGCGAUUAAGUUAAGUUUAAUAUUAAUGGAAAAGUGUAGAUCAGGUAUGGGAAACUUCCAACAUACAGGACGCAACCAUCCUUUUUUCAUACUUCUUUAAUUCUGUAUCUCCUUCAUUUAUAAUCUGCAUAUUCUCAAACAACUUUUAUUUCAGUUACUUGGAACUAAAAAAUUGUUGUUUUUUAAGCCACGUGCUUUAACUUUAUAAAAACCAAUUUUUCUUGACUGCUAUUUACUAUAAUAUACUUUGUCGCCUUUUAUAUAAAUUUAAUUUUCACUUAUUGUAACCCAUUAAUUGUAUACCUACUCAACGUAAAUAACUAUAUUUAAUCUUUAGACUCCUCAUGUCCUGUUAUUUGAAUAAUUUUAAACUAUCGACAUUUGAAAUCUAUUAUCUGGUCUAAAAAAUCUAACAAAUAAUUGUUGUCCAACAAAUUUAUCUAUAAAUAUAAAACUAAAAAAAUAAUUAUUUACUAUUUCCUAAAAGAAAAUUUAAUGUACGAUGUUAAUAAACUAAAACAUAGAGUACAAAAUCGUCCGUUUAUUUCUGAACUUUAAAACAGAGAUUAAUUUAUAUCGAAGUAAGUAAUGUGUUUAUAAUUUUGGCAAAUUUAGCUCUACACGAAGCGUGCAGCAUUGCGAGACAUUCCCAUGCUGAAAGGUCCCCAGCCCUGAUGUAAAUGGCUGUAGCCGUCAAGAAAACACAGAUGAUAUUGAAAAGUUAUUAAUUAUACAAUGGCCAAAACGCCAUGAUUGUAUAAUUACCUGGGUACUCUUGAUGACCAUUAACAUCUAUACGCUUUCUAAAUUAUUAACAGAACAACAUUCCACAUUUCGUUUAAUAUUAAUGACGCGCAUUUAACCAUUCUUAACUCUUUCGCUACGAAGAUUGUAUAUACACUUCUUAAAAAAUGAGAGUCAAUUGCGAAUGGCGCAAACGUACGCCCUCUGAAGAUGAACAGUCUUUUUUCGUUUGAAAAUAUUACUUUGGACUUCGCAGUUCCUGUACCCCAGGUACCUAUGAAAUCAAGCAGGUAUUCCAGCAUAGAAUUUCGAAAAAAUACAUUUUUGUUCGAUAUAAGUUUUUUGAAAGAAUAUGUUUUAAAAAGUGUAUUUGUCAAACUCUGUCGGAAUUUACAAAUUUAAUUCGGAAGAAGCUUAGUACUUCGUAAAUGACAAAUUUCUUAAAUAUUAGUAGUAAUAAAAUUGAACGUAAAAGCAGCACAGAAAGUAUAAAGGCCCCAAACUAUAUACAAUUGUUACAAAUGCAAUAUUGAUUUACAAUAAAUUUUCAUAUAAUUUAAUACUGAUAUUUUUCUUUCUCUUCUAAAAACAGUAGAAUAGAUCAAAAUACAAUGUCAAAUAACUAAAUUAUUUGUUUCUUCGUAACGUUAUGUUUUGAGAACACUCUGAAUUAAAAUCUUUUAUUUUUGCACAAUUAAUCUUAACGAGUAAGUACACGCAGAUUUAUAAAAGCAAUUAAAUUUGUAAAAGCAAGUCCAAAAACAAUGUUUGGUCUUCAAAGAAUUAAAUGCAAAUUUUAAAAUCCACCUGGCCGAUUGACUUCAAAUUUUGUGAGUGUGAAAAAAGAAA